AUCACCUCCACCAUUAGAGAGACGAUCACCUCAGCAGCUGCUCAUUAUAGCAUCUCAAGGAGGAAUGACUGGAUGUAAAAUCUGUGUGCAUUCACACCAUCACCAUGACGAUGAACUAUUUAUAGGGUGGAGUGAAGUGUUGGCGUGAGCUGCAGACAGCAUGCGGAGUUGAGACGGUCCAACCUUCCCAUCUGGUGGAGGGGAGAGGCACGGAGAGAGAAGAAGAGAAGAAGAAAGGAGGAGAUGUGGAGGACUGGGAUUGUGCCAGUAUACAGUGAACAGCUGAGAGGUCUGCUGUGACGCCAUAUGGGAGGAUCGGGAGGAGGACCUCCGUGCACUUACACUGAGGAUCGUUGGAGGGCGGCCAUGUCAGUCUCCUCCUCUUCCUCUUACUGCGUUUCACUUUUUUUUUCUUCUAUUUAUCUUCUUCUGCCUUUUUUUUUUGCAUUCCCCAUUUCACCCGCUCCUCAGUCUGAUCUGAAAUGUAGAGUAUUAUUUUGUUGUAGAGACUUAAAGAAUAACCAUCACUUCUAUCAGUUAUAACACAUUUAAAGUCACAGAUGAUGGAAUUGCUGCAUUAAGUGUUUGUCAGCCUUUUUGGCCUUGGGUUUUGCCUUUCAGGCUACAUACAGGCGGCCUCUAUAUGGGUGCAUCCCAAAUCUCUUAAUUGCAUCCAUGUUUCCCUCGCGUUCCUCCCACCGGGGAUGCAAGGAAAAGACGCAGUGAGGGAAACGUGGAUGCAGUUUAAGACACUUGA